CCUACGGGAGGCAGCAGUGGGGAAUAUUGGACAAUGGGGGCAACCCUGAUCCAGCCAUGCCGCGUGUGUGAAGAAGGCCCUCGGGUUGUAAAGCACUGUCAGUGAGGAAGAACGCCUGGUGGUUAAUACCCAUCAGGAAAGACAUCACUCACAGAAGAAGCACCGGCUAACUCCGUGCCAGCAGCCGCGGUAAUACGGAGGGUGCGAGCGUUAAUCGGAAUUACUGGGCGUAAAGCGCGCGUAGGUGGCUUGAUAAGCCGGUUGUGAAAGCCCCGGGCUCAACCUGGGAACGGCAUCCGGAACUGUCAAGCUAGAGUGCAGGAGAGGAAGGUAGAAUUCCCGGUGUAGCGGUGAAAUGCGUAGAGAUCGGGAGGAAUACCAGUGGCGAAGGCGGCCUUCUGGACUGACACUGACACUGAGGUGCGAAAGCGUGGGUAGCAAACAGGAUUAGAUACCCGUGUAGUC
rnacentral:rRNA from 1 species